GUGCCAGCAGCCGCGGUAAUACGUAGGGGGCAAGCGUUGUCCGGAAUUAUUGGGCGUAAAGAGCUCGUAGGCGGUCCUUUAAGUCGGAAGUGAAAUCUCAGGGCUCAACCCUGAAAUUGCUUUCGAUGCUGGCGGACUUGAGGCAGGUAGGGGAGAGCGGAAUUCCUGGUGUAGCGGUGAAAUGCGCAGAUAUCAGGAGGAACACCGGUGGCGAAGGCGGCUCUCUGGGCCUGUACUGACGCUGAGGAGCGAAAGCGUGGGGAGCGAACAGGAUUAGAUACCCCUGUAGUCC
rnacentral:rRNA from 1 species